rnacentral:rRNA from 1 species
UUCGGCGGUCAUUGCGGCGGGGGUACACCUCUUCCCAUUCCGAACAGAGAAGUUAAGCCCGCCAGCGCCGAUGGUACUCGGAGGGCAACCUCCCGGGAGAGUAGGUCGCCGCCGAAU